UGAGAACAAUGCAUCAUUGAGCAACAAAAAAAAUUCAUAAUCUCACUUAUCUUACAUCUGUUAAAAUAUGUGAUACUCCACUUAGGACACAAUGAGAUGCUUGGAUUUCAUCUAAAUCAAUCCAUGCUUUUGGUUUGGAUUUAAAUUUCCCAGUCAGCUUCUUCGCAUUAAAAUGUCAAGUUUUCGAGGUCUAUGGUGCUCUUUUGGCUGGUAAUACGUCAAUGUCAAGAUUGGUUUGAUCAUCUUGGAUAUGCCUAUCUCCCUUUUCACUGAUUUUAUUAUCUAUGUAUAAAGAUCGUAUGUUUAUAAUUAUCUGAGUUGUUUUUACCUA